AGAGUUUGAUCCUGGCUCAGGAUUAACGCUAGCGGCAGGCCUAAUACAUGCAAGUCGAACGGUAACAGGUCCAGCAAUGGAUGCUGACGAGUGGCGCACGGGUGCGUAACACGUAUGCAAUCUACCCUUAACCGGGGGAUAGCCCCGAGAAAUCGGGAUUAAUACCCCAUAACAUUGCGGGGGGGCAUCUCUCUGCAAUUAAAGUUCCGGCGGUUUUGGAUGAGCAUGCGCGACAUUAGCUAGUUGGUGAGGUAACGGCUCACCAAGGCAACGAUGUCUAGGGGUUCUGAGAGGAUUCACCCCCACACUGGUACUGAGACACGGACCAGACUCCAACGGGAGGCAGCAGUAAGGAAUAUUGGUCAAUGGACGCAAGUCUGAACCAGCCAUGCCGCGUGCAGGAAGACGGCCCUACGGGUUGUAAACUGCUUUUGUACGGGAAAAAACCCCCGGUUUCGCACCGGGGCUGAUGGUACCGUAAGAAUAAGCAUCGGCUAACUCCGUGCCAGCAGCCGCGGUAAUACGGAGGAUGCAAGCGUUAUCCGGAUUUAUUGGGUUUAAAGGGUGCGCAGGCGGAAUGAUAAGUCAGUGGUGAAAUCCUACGGCUCAACUGUAGAACUGCCAUUGAUACUGUCGUUCUUGAGUACACUUGAAGUGGGCGGAAUGUGUCAUGUAGCGGUGAAAUGCUUAGAUAUGACACAGAACACCGAUCGCGAAGGCAGCUCACUAACGUGAAACUGACGCUCAUGCACGAAAGCGUGGGGAUCAAACAGGAUUAGAUACCCUGGUAGUCCACGCUGUAAACGAUGAUUACUCGAUGUUGGCGAUACACUGUCAGCGUCUAAGCGAAAGCAUUAAGUAAUCCACCUGGGGAGUACGGCCGCAAGGUUGAAACUCAAAGGAAUUGACGG
rnacentral:rRNA from 1 species